UCCCAAUGUGCUACCACAGCUCAUUUUUCCUUACAGUUCUGACGAUAGCAUGCUGGAAAGUCCAAACCAUCCAAAAAAUGUUUUCACACUAGAAAUGAACCGAACCGUGAUUCAGUUUGAUCCGGACCAAGACCACCUCUUUUCGUCGGACCAAGGUUCAGCUGUUUGGUUUGGACGGUGGUCCAAGGGAGGUCCAAACGAGAUAGUUCUGAAGAAAGGGACAUAAUCUUAAAUGAGACGCUCAGAGGCUGAAUGUUCCUACAGAGUUGGGAAAUGUUUUCAGGAGAAGUUCAGAGCUAAUUACAGAGAUGGUGAAAAGGCUGUCUUCAUGCCAGGUCACAGAGUGCUUUCCACGGAAGAAGAGAGCAAUGGAAAAAAAAAAGGCUUUCCAUGAUGGUGCUGAAAUCCUGAGCUCAAAAUGCAAGUGAACCAGAUCAUCUGAUUGUAGAGAUACACAUAACAAUGUGAAGUGAUGUCUGAUUCAUGUUAAAUGUAACGAAGUACAGUCCAUGUCACGUUAGAAGAAUAAAGACGAGACUUAGUGGAGCAAGUCUGAACUACACACACAGUUUCCAUUACGCUCAAUAAUGUUCAAGUUUUGGCAGAUAUUUCCAACAUGAAAUGAUAGGUAACACUCAACUAAGUUAAUAGCUUGUUAUUCUUUCCUAACAAUGGAAACAAGAGUCUACAGCUGUGCUGGUGACACUGUGAGGGUGU